rnacentral:rRNA from 1 species
GACGAACGCUGGCGGCGUGCCUAAUACAUGCAAGUAGAACGCUGAAGGAGGAGCUUGCUCUUCUGGAUGAGUUGCGAACGGGUGAGUAACGCGUAGGUAACCUGCCUGGUAGUGGGGGAUAACUAUUGGAAACGAUAGCUAAUACCGCAUAAGAGUAGAUGUUGCAUGACAUUUGCUUAAAAGGUGCAAUUGCAUCACUACCAGAUGGACCUGCGUUGUAUUAGCUAGUUGGUGGGGUAACGGCUCACCAAGGCGACGAUACAUAGCCGACCUGAGAGGGUGAUCGGCCACACUGGGACUGAGACACGGCCCAGACUCCUACGGGAGGCAGCAGUAGGGAAUCUUCGGCAAUGGACGGAAGUCUGACCGAGCAACGCCGCGUGAGUGAAGAAGGUUUUCGGAUCGUAAAGCUCUGUUGUAAGAGAAGAACGAGUGUGAGAGUGGAAAGUUCACAG